UUUAUCACAACCGCACUUAGCUACCCUGCGCUGCCACUGGUGUUCCUGUUGUCACGCCAGUGGCAGCGCAGGGUAGCUAAGUGCGGUUGUGAUAAACGCUGAAAGCAUAUAAGCGUGAAGCCAUCCCCAAGAUAAGGUUUCGUUGAACUUCGGUUCUGAAUCCCCCUGGAAGACUACCAGGUUGAUAGGCUGGCUGUGUAAGGCGUGCAAGCGUUUUAGCUGACCAGUACUAACGGGAGAAUAUCUAGCCACU
rnacentral:rRNA from 1 species